UUCCUGAUGUUUAGUUGGAAUCUAUUUUCUUGAAACUUGAAGCCAUUGGUUCGAGUCUUACCCUCCAGAGCAGGAGAAAACAAGCUUGUUGCCUCUUCCAUGGGACAUCCCUUGAGAUAUUUGAAGAUGGCUAUCCUAUCUCCUCUCAGCCUCCUCUUUUCUAGGCUAAACAUACCAAGCUCUUUCAACAGUUCCUCAUAAGACUUAGCUUCCACACCCUUGAGCCAGCGUGGUGUAGUGGU